rnacentral:rRNA from 1 species
UACGGAGGGGGCUAGCGUUGUUCGGAAUUACUGGGCGUAAAGCGCACGUAGGCGGUGGCGCAUGUCAGAUGUGAAAGCCCCGGGCUUAACCUGGGAAUUGCAUUUGAAACUGCGCCGCUAGAGGCCGGAAGAGGGUAGUGGAAUUCCCAGUGUAGAGGUGAAAUUCGUAGAUAUUGGGAAGAACACCAGUGGCGAAGGCGGCUACCUGGUCCGGUUCUGACGCUGAGGUGCGAAAGCGUGGGGAGCAAACAGG